UUGAAUGAUGACCUUCGUAUUUAAAUACGCUGGAAAUUACCGACCGAGACCUUCGGGUCACCGACGAUACAAAUUGGCUGUUGUCUGACA
rfam:Aspergillus ruber CBS 135680 unplaced genomic scaffold scaffold00028, whole genome shotgun sequence.